rnacentral:rRNA from 1 species
UACGAAGGGGGCUAGCGUUGUUCGGAAUUACUGGGCGUAAAGCGCGCGCAGGCGGUUUUCCAAGUCAGUGGUGAAAGCCCGGAGCUCAACUCCGGAAUUGCCUUUGAUACUGGGAAUCUCGAGUCCGGGAGAGGUGAGUGGAACUGCGAGUGUAGAGGUGAAAUUCGUAGAUAUUCGCAAGAACACCAGUGGCGAAGGCGGCUCACUGGCCCGGUACUGACGCUGAGGUGCGAAAGCGUGGGGAGCAAACAGG